rnacentral:rRNA from 1 species
ACUCCUACGGGAGGCAGCAGUGGGGAAUUUUGGACAAUGGGCGAAAGCCUGAUCCAGCCAUGCCGCGUGCAGGAUGAAGGCCUUCGGGUUGUAAACUGCUCUUGUACGGAACGAAACGGCCUUUUCUAAUAAAGAGGGCUAAUGACGGUACCGUAAGAAUAAGCACCGGCUAACUACGUGCCAGCAGCCGCGGUAAUACGUAGGGUGCAAGCGUUAAUCGGAAUUACUGGGCGUAAAGCGUGCGCAGGCGGUUAUGUAAGACAGUUGUGAAAUCCCCGGGCUCAACCUGGGAACUGCAUCUGUGACUGCAUAGCUAGAGUACGGUAGAGGGGGAUGGAAUUCCGCGUGUAGCAGUGAAAUGCGUAGAUAUGCGGAGGAACACCGAUGGCGAAGGCAAUCCCCUGGACCUGUACUGACGCUCAUGCACGAAAGCGUGGGGAGCAAACAGGAUUAGAAACCCUGGUAGUCCC